GCCGGGUAUGUUGGCGCAUGCCUGUAGUCCCAGCUACUCGGGAGGCUGAGGCAGGAGGAUCACUUGAGCCUGGGAGGCGGAGGUUACAGUGAGCUGAGAUCACACCACUGCACUCCAGCCUGGGUGACAGAGUGAGACCCUGUCUCAA
ensembl:misc_RNA Metazoa_SRP Metazoan signal recognition particle RNA